rnacentral:rRNA from 1 species
UUAAGCGACUAAGCGUACACGGUGGAUGCCCUGGCAGUCAGAGGCGAUGAAGGACGUGCUAAUCUGCGAAAAGCGUCGGUAAGGUGAUAUGAACCGUUAUAACCGGCGAUGUCCGAAUGGGGAAACCCAGUGCAAUUCGUUGCACUAUCGUUAACUGAAUACAUAGGUUAACGAGGCGAACCGGGGGAACUGAAACAUCUAAGUACCCCGAGGAAAAGAAAUCAACCGAGAUUCCCCCAGUAGCGGCGAGCGAACGGGGAGCAGCCCAGAGUCUGAAUCAGCUUGUGUGUUAGUGGAACGGUCUGGAAAGUCCGACGGUACAGGGUGAUAGUCCCGUACACCAAAAUGCACAGGCUGUGAACUCGAAGAGUAGGGCGGGACACGUGGUAUCCUGUCUGAAUAUGGGGGGACCAUCCUCCAAGGCUAAAUACUCCUGACUGACCGAUAGUGAACCAGUACCGUGAGGGAAAGGCGAAAAGAACCCCGGCGAGGGGAGUGAAAAAGAACCUGAAACCGUGUACGUACAAGCAGUGGGAGCACCUUCGUGGUGUGACUGCGUACCUUUUGUAUAAUGGGUCAGCGACUUAUAUUCUGUAGCAAGGUUAACCGUAUAGGGGAGCCGCAGGGAAACCGAGUCUUAACUGGGCGUUAAGUUGCAGGGUAUAGACCCGAAACCCGGUGAUCUAGCCAUGGGCAGGUUGAAGGUUGGGUAACACUAACUGGAGGACCGAACCGACUAAUGUUGAAAAAUUAGCGGAUGACUUGUGGCUGGGGGUGAAAGGCCAAUCAAACCGGGAGAUAGCUGGUUCUCCCCGAAAGCUAUUUAGGUAGCGCCUCGUGAACUCAUCUUCGGGGGUAGAGCACUGUUUCGGCUAGGGGGUCAUCCCGACUUACCAACCCGAUGCAAACUACGAAUACCGAAGAAUGUUAUCACGGGAGACACACGGCGGGUGCUAACGUCCGUCGUGAAGAGGGAAACAACCCAGACCGCCAGCUAAGGUCCCAAAGUCAUGGUUAAGUGGGAAACGAUGUGGGAAGGCACAGACAGCCAGGAUGUUGGCUUAGAAGCAGCCAUCAUUUAAAGAAAGCGUAAUAGCUCACUGGUCGAGUCGGCCUGCGCGGAAGAUGUAACGGGGCUAAACCAUGCACCGAAGCUGCGGCAGCGACACGAUGUGUUGUUGGGUAGGGGAGCGUUCUGUAAGCCUGCGAAGGUGACCUGUGAGGGUUGCUGGAGGUAUCAGAAGUGCGAAUGCUGACAUAAGUAACGAUAAAGCGGGUGAAAAGCCCGCUCGCCGGAAGACCAAGGGUUCCUGUCCAACGUUAAUCGGGGCAGGGUGAGUCGACCCCUAAGGCGAGGCCGAAAGGCGUAGUCGAUGGGAAACAGGUUAAUAUUCCUGUACUUGGUGUUACUGCGAAGGGGGGACGGAGAAGGCUAUGUUAGCCGGGCGACGGUUGUCCCGGUUUAAGCAUGUAGGCUGGUUAUCCAGGCAAAUCCGGAUAAUCAAGGCUGAGGUGUGAUGACGAGGCACUACGGUGCUGAAGUAACAAAUGCCCUGCUUCCAGGAAAAGCCUCUAAGCAUCAGGUAACAUCAAAUCGUACCCCAAACCGACACAGGUGGUCAGGUAGAGAAUACCAAGGCGCUUGAGAGAACUCGGGUGAAGGAACUAGGCAAAAUGGUGCCGUAACUUCGGGAGAAGGCACGCUGGUGUGUAGGUGAAGUCCCUGCGGAUGGAGCUGAGACCAGUCGAAGAUACCAGCUGGCUGCAACUGUUUAUUAAAAACACAGCACUGUGCAAACACGAAAGUGGACGUAUACGGUGUGACGCCUGCCCGGUGCCGGAAGGUUAAUUGAUGGGGUUAUCCGUAAGGAGAAGCUCUUGAUCGAAGCCCCGGUAAACGGCGGCCGUAACUAUAACGGUCCUAAGGUAGCGAAAUUCCUUGUCGGGUAAGUUCCGACCUGCACGAAUGGCGUAAUGAUGGCCAGGCUGUCUCCACCCGAGACUCAGUGAAAUUGAACUCGCUGUGAAGAUGCAGUGUACCCGCGGCAAGACGGAAAGACCCCGUGAACCUUUACUAUAGCUUGACACUGAACAUUGAGCCUUGAUGUGUAGGAUAGGUGGGAGGCUUUGAAGCGUGGACGCCAGUCUGCGUGGAGCCAACCUUGAAAUACCACCCUUUAAUGUUUGAUGUUCUAACGUUGGCCCCUGACCGGGGUUGCGGACAGUGUCUGGUGGGUAGUUUGACUGGGGCGGUCUCCUCCCAAAGCGUAACGGAGGAGCACGAAGGUUAGCUAAUCCUGGUCGGACAUCAGGAGGUUAGUGCAAUGGCAUAAGCUAGCUUGACUGCGAGCGUGACGGCGCGAGCAGGUGCGAAAGCAGGUCAUAGUGAUCCGGUGGUUCUGAAUGGAAGGGCCAUCGCUCAACGGAUAAAAGGUACUCCGGGGAUAACAGGCUGAUACCGCCCAAGAGUUCAUAUCGACGGCGGUGUUUGGCACCUCGAUGUCGGCUCAUCACAUCCUGGGGCUGAAGUAGGUCCCAAGGGUAUGGCUGUUCGCCAUUUAAAGUGGUACGCGAGCUGGGUUUAGAACGUCGUGAGACAGUUCGGUCCCUAUCUGCCGUGGGCGCUGGAGAAUUGAGGGGGGCUGCUCCUAGUACGAGAGGACCGGAGUGGACGCAUCACUGGUGUUCGGGUUGUCAUGCCAAUGGCACUGCCCGGUAGCUAAAUGCGGAAGAGAUAAGUGCUGAAAGCAUCUAAGCACGAAACUUGCCCCGAGAUGAGUUCUCCCUGAGACUUUAAGUCUCCUGAAGGAACGUUAAAGACGAUGACGUUGAUAGGCCGGGUGUGUAAGCGCAGCGAUGCGUUGAGCUAACCGGUACUAAUGAACCGUGAGGCUUAACCU